UGCGGCUGUGUCAAAUUCAGUGCCUGCCCCACCCGGGCAGAACCUGGCCCCGGAAGGCGGCUGCGACACUGACAUUAUGACCCAUGACCCUAAUCCCCAGCCCUGGACCACAGGGAUGAAUUUGUAUACAGACACUA
ensembl:snoRNA